AUUGAACGCUGGCGGCAUGCUUUACACAUGCAAGUCGAACGGCAGCACGGGUGCUUGCACCUGGUGGCGAGUGGCGGACGGGUGAGUAAUGCAUCGGAACGUGUCCUGAAGUGGGGGAUAACGCAUCGAAAGAUGUGCUAAUACCGCAUAUUCUCUGAGGAGGAAAGUAGGGGAUCGAAAGACCUUAUGCUUUUGGAGCGGCCGAUGUCUGAUUAGCUAGUUGGUAGGGUAAUGGCUUACCAAGGCGACGAUCAGUAGUUGGUCUGAGAGGACGGCCAGCCACACUGGGACUGAGACACGGCCCAGACUCCUACGGGAGGCAGCAGUGGGGAAUUUUGGACAAUGGGCGCAAGCCUGAUCCAGCAAUGCCGCGUGAGUGAAGAAGGCCUCGGUUGUAAGACGUACUUUCUAGUUGUAGAAG
rnacentral:rRNA from 1 species